GGCCUCAGCACUACCCCAGUGUAGGUC
rnacentral:misc_RNA from 1 species